CCUACGGGAGGCUGCAGUGGGGAAUAUUGCACAAUGGGCGCAAGCCUGAUGCAGCCAUGCCGCGUGUGUGAAGAAGGCCUUCGGGUUGUAAAGCACUUUCAGCGGGGAGGAAGGCGUUAAGGUUAAUAACCUUGGCGAUUGACGUUACCCGCAGAAGAAGCACCGGCUAACUCCGUGCCAGCAGCCGCGGUAAUACGGAGGGUGCAAGCGUUAAUCGGAAUUACUGGGCGUAAAGCGCACGCAGGCGGUCUGUCAAGUCGGAUGUGAAAUCCCCGGGCUCAACCUGGGAACUGCAUUCGAAACUGGCAGGCUAGAGUCUUGUAGAGGGGGGUAGAAUUCCAGGUGUAGCGGUGAAAUGCGUAGAGAUCUGGAGGAAUACCGGUGGUGAAGGCGGCCCCCUGGACAAAGACUGACGCUCAGGUGCGAAAGCGUGGGGAGCAAACAGGAUUAGAUACCCGUGUAGUC
rnacentral:rRNA from 1 species